rnacentral:lncRNA from 1 species
UACAACGGAGCUAAAUCUCUGAUCCUUUUCACUGUUCCUCGCAGGAUCGACACGUAAAAGACGGUUCUUUUGCGAAGAAGAAGCGAUCUUUGAGGUGGAACUCCAGGAAAAGAGCAAGAACGCAAUCCGCAGCGUCAUCCUCUCGUUUGCAUGCUUCAACAUCGAAUUGAUAAGAUGAACGGAUCAAUCCAAGAUCAGAGGCUACGAGUUAAAGUUUCGGUGUUUCCCUGUCCUCGAAGGUAAAAAAAAUGAUUCCUUUUCCUUUAGGAGGAACUCAAGAAAGGGAUGACAAGAACGCAAUGCGUCAAGUCGCUCUCUUGCUUUGGCAAAAACGAUCACUCUUUUAUCGACAUUUGAAGAAAAGGGAUGCAUAGAAGUAAAAAAUGAAGCUUUUUUUGGAGAAUCAGAACAGGGCGAAGAAGGGAAGGAGAACAAAGAAGAAGCAGAGGAGAAGGAA